GUCCUCCAACUUCAAGGAACUGAAAUCUGCCAAUAACCAGGAAUCCUGGGCCUCCAUUAAGAUCACAGCUCUGACCAACACCUUCAUUUCAGUCCUGUGAGACCCUGAGCAGAGAACACAGCCGCGUUGUGCCUGAAUUUCUGACCUAUAGCACACUUUUGCUCCCUCUGCUGGAUUGUAACAGCAAGCAACAAUGAGAACUCCAAUUCUAAAAAAAGAGUCAUAAACUCCCACCCCCACCACCUUUGAACUUCAAAACUAACAGGUACCAGAGAGAAGACCUAGUGCUACUUGAGUCCUAAACUGUGAGAGCUUCGUAUUGUUCUUAGGAUGUCACCGGUCUAAGUCUAUGCUACCAUCUAAUUCAACAAACCCUCUGGGGGGUUGGGCAGCUGAAGGGGAAGGCAGGAUGCCAACAUCUUGAAAGGAACAGCAUGUGUAUAAUGUAGUUUUUUGUUUUCUGGUGAAGGUUUGAUUUGUCUAAGGGAAAGGAAAGCAUUUUGAAUCAUACCAUAGCUAUGGUAUUCAAAUGCACAAACUCUGAAGA